CUUUCAGGAUGUAAGUACAUUGGCCAUAAAGAAAUCUUGUUUGAAAUUUCUUUCCAAUUUAUCAGUUAAUAUACUAGUAUCUCGUGCACGGGCUAGCAUGCAGUGUUUUGCGCACUGCACAACACGUUUUCAGGUAAAUAACUUAUUUAGCAAUCUGAUAGAUCAAACUGACAGGCAAACGAAGAAAGAUUGCAUUAAAUUGUGAACGACUGUUUGAAUGCAACUUAAACGAAAUUCUGUUUAUGACAAAAAAUCCUUAUAAACAAUUAUAUCUAAACGGAGCGUAAUGAUUUGCAACAUCUGGUCCUUCCACAUAAACCAGGACUCUGUGUGCAGCCCGCAUCCAGCUUUCACACGUUUUAUAGUAUGUGAAUGGUUUGCAUCUGCAAUUGGCAAAAUGUUUCAGUGCAAAAUUGUUACAAUGAAUGGUUUUAUAUGAUUUUUUCUAAAUAAAUCUGUAUUGUAAUUCGGAUCGGUUUUCAUGAUUUGUACACUGCGUACUAUAUACGGUAUAAUGCUG